rnacentral:rRNA from 1 species
AAUGAACGCUGGCGGCAUGCCUAACACAUGCAAGUCGAACGAAGGCUUCGGCCUUAGUGGCGCACGGGUGCGUAACGCGUGGGAAUCUGCCCUCAGGUUCGGAAUAACAGCGAGAAAUUGCUGCUAAUACCGGAUGAUAUCACGAGAUCAAAGAUUUAUCGCCUGAGGAUGAGCCCGCGUAGGAUUAGCUAGUUGGUGUGGUAAAGGCGCACCAAGGCGACGAUCCUUAGCUGGUCUGAGAGGAUGAUCAGCCACACUGGGACUGAGACACGGCCCAGACUCCUACGGGAGGCAGCAGUGGGGAAUAUUGGACAAUGGGCGAAAGCCUGAUCCAGCAAUGCCGCGUGAGUGAUGAAGGCCUUAGGGUUGUAAAGCUCUUUUACCCGGGAUGAUAAUGACAGUACCGGGAGAAUAAGCUCCGGCUAACUCCGUGCCAGCAGCCGCGGUAAUACGGAGGGAGCUAGCGUUAUUCGGAAUUACUGGGCGUAAAGCGCACGUAGGCGGCUUUGUAAGUUAGAGGUGAAAGCCUGGAGCUCAACUCCAGAAUUGCCUUUAAGACUGCAUCGCUUGAAUCCAGGAGAGGUGAGUGGAAUUCCGAGUGUAGAGGUGAAAUUCGUAGAUAUUCGGAAGAACACCAGUGGCGAAGGCGGCUCACUGGACUGGUAUUGACGCUGAGGUGCGAAAGCGUGGGGAGCAAACAGG